AAGUCCUAACCAGCUAACCCCAAAUACCAAAAUCCCCAAAUCCCCCUACCGUACGAGCCAUCUGUGAUCUGUUAGUGGGAGUUGUUUCUGCUGUUGUUUACUUGUUAUGGUAUGGGUUUUGACUUCUCUCGCCGUCCUGCGACUCUCGCCUAAGCUUGGAGGCAAUCGGCAAUCAGCAAUAGGCAAUCGCCUAACCCCCAGAUCCCCAAAUCCCCCAUCGCCGCUUGAGCCAUCUGUUCUUUUGUAGCACUACAGUUGUUCUGGUCUGGGUUAUGGUCCUUAUGGACUUAUCUCGCUGUCUCACCUAAGGUUGGAGCCAAUCGAUAAUCGACAAUCGCCUAAUCCCCAGAUUUCCAAUCCGCCCGAGCCAUCUGGCGGUCUCAAUUUGCUUCCUGACUAUAAAGCUUUUCAACUUCUCGGUUUCAUCUCUCAGUUCUCACUCCCUAUUCGGCAUCCGGCCAUGGGCAUUUGGCUAUCGGCAUCGACACAUCACCUCUGGUAUAAGUUUUACCACACCACCACUUUUGCGGUCUUGCCUAGUGCUCUGAGUUUUCUCCUACUUGACCCACUCGAGACUCGAUCAAUCUUCGGCAGUACAGUUAGAAAAUGUGAAGACAAAGUUGUACGAGCUCUUUGAACAAUAUGCAAGCAACACUGGUGCAUCAGGUACAUUUUCUCACUCAACGAGUAAUUUGCCUAAGCAAGCCGGAGGAGGAACUAAACCCAAGGGAUUAAAGAUCUUUAGUAUGAUGAUUCAGAGUUGGAGACAUCAUUGCUGUCCAAAUAAGACUCAAAUGUUUUGAUUGAGGAUGAAGAUUGAGAAGAAUAUAAAUUAGUUUUAAAAUUUAUAAAUAUUUGAUUAUAUACUUAUGUUACAUGCUAAUGGGAUUGUAGUUUGUGUAUUUAUGUUAAAGAUUGAAAUUUUAUUUAUAUUUGAUGUAGUGUAUUUGCUUA